rnacentral:lncRNA from 1 species
UACUGAAAAGUAGUAAGGGAUUCCAACUUCGUGAGAGGGAGAGUGGGGCAGAACCAGACCAGACAAGGAGUGGUCACCUGGAAAAAGCCUGCCAUCAAAGGCCUUGACAUGAACUUGCGAAUUCAACAUGUGAAGACCAGCUUCAGGUGUCCCCAAAAAGACCAUGAAGGCCUGAGAGUAAUGAAAAUCUUCCUGAAAUUGAGGUCACUGUGGAAGCCUCAGCUGAGAUGUCUCACCUCACUCUCUAUGAUGCAACGAGAAGCCCCUUGGGAGCGUUUCAGUCCCACUCUAUACUCCUGUCAUUGUGCUCAUCACAGUCUGGUAAGUGUUGACAUACGAUUCCUAUAUUAGUCCAUUUUCCAUUGCUAUAAGGAAACACCUGAGGCUAGGUAGUUUAUAAAGAAAAAAGGUUUAUUUGGCUCACAGUUCUGCAGACUGUACAAGUAGCAUGGUUCCAGGCUGGGCCAUGGCCCACACCUGUAACCCCAGCACUUUGAGAUGCUG